rnacentral:rRNA from 1 species
UACGUAGGUGGCAAGCGUUGUCCGGAUUUAUUGGGUUUAAAGGGUGCGUAGGCGGCCCUGUAAGUCAGUGGUGAAAUACUCUAGCUUAACUAGAGGGGUGCCAAUGAUACUGCAGGGCUUGAGUACAGAUGAGGUAGGCGGAAUUGACGGUGUAGCGGUGAAAUGCAUAGAUAUCGUCAAGAACACCGAUAGCGAAGGCAGCUUACUGGGCUGUAACUGACGCUGAUGCACGAAAGCGUGGGGAGCGAACAGG